CCCACCGCGCGCCUGGCAACAGGGGCGGCACGGCAAACCCCACCGGGAGCAAAACCGAAUAGGGGCGGUGCGAGGGGAAACCCUCGAGGGCUGUUUCCGGCCCACCGCCCGGGUAGGUUGCGUGAGGCGCAUGGCAACAUGCGCCCAAGAUGAAUGGCCGCCACGUUCCCGCUCCGCAAGGGGCGGGGGCCAUACAGAACCCGGCUUACAGGCCGGCUGGCAUC
rnacentral:RNase_P_RNA from 1 species